UACGAAGGGGGCUAGCGUUGCUCGGAAUUACUGGGCGUAAAGGGCGCGUAGGCGGACAGUUAAGUCAGAGGUGAAAGCCCAGGGCUCAACCCUGGAAUAGCCUUUGAUACUGGCUGUCUUGAGUGCGGGAGAGGUGUGUGGAACUCCGAGUGUAGAGGUGAAAUUCGUAGAUAUUCGGAAGAACACCAGUGGCGAAGGCGGCUCACUGGACUGGUAUUGACGCUGAGGCGCGAAAGCUAGGGGAGCGAACGGG
rnacentral:rRNA from 1 species